rnacentral:rRNA from 1 species
UACGAGAGGCCCAAACGUUGUUCGGAAUCACUGGGCUUAAAGGGCGCGUAGGCGGGCUGCCAAGUCCGGGGUGAAAUCCUCCGGCUUAACCGGAGAAUGGCCUCGGAUACUGGCGGCCUGGAGGGGGGUAGGGGCGUGCGGAACUGUGGGUGGAGCGGUGAAAUGCGUUGAGAUCCACAGGAACUCCGGUGGCGAAGGCGGCACGCUGGACCUUUUCUGACGCUGAGGCGCGAAAGCCAGGGGAGCGAACGGG